rnacentral:lncRNA from 1 species
AUCAAACAGCAGAAGCGUGGGCUGCCACCGGAAGGAGUAUCGCUUCCCUGCCCCGCAGCCCGGCUCCAUGUCCUCACGCUCUCCCCUCUGCCAGCGCCAGCAACUGYGCGGCUGCCCGAUUUCAUCUUCAAAAAUACCACUCAAUUAUACCUUCUUCCAUCCCCACUUGGCCUAAAUGAGGACAGCCAGCUAUAACCUGAUCUCCACAAGAACGCUCAAGGGCUGGCCUUAUGCAAGAGUAACAUCUUAAUGCUCAAUUCCGCAUAUAAAAGAAAGAAGUCAAAGCUACAAGCAAAGAGUUAAAAAAAACAAUCUUGGCUGCAAAUGGGAACAGUUUCAUGCUUACACACACACUCAAACACUUCAGUAAAAUAACUGGGUUUAUUUUACUAAAUAUUCCAUCCUGUGAGAGGCUGCAAAACCCUUCUGAUCAGAGAGAAGGCAACCCUUGCUCCUCAGACCGGGAACUGCAGGCUCCACGAAGACGCAGGGCAGCCUCCAUUUUGGAAAACCAGGAAGAGCUAGAAACUGAUGACAAUUUUCUUCAUUUGGAACAGCUGGAGCACAAGAUUCACAUUCGCUCAAUUUCCUGCUGGCAGCAACUCAAAGCUGCGCUGCAAAGCAAAGGGUAA